rnacentral:rRNA from 1 species
GACGAACGCUGGCGGCGUGCUUAACACAUGCAAGUCGAACGGAAAGGCCCUGCUUUUGUGGGGUGCUCGAGUGGCGAACGGGUGAGUAACACGUGAGUAACCUGCCCUUGACUUUGGGAUAACUUCAGGAAACUGGGGCUAAUACCGGAUAGGAGCUCCUGCUGCAUGGUGGGGGUUGGAAAGUUUCGGCGGUUGGGGAUGGACUCGCGGCUUAUCAGCUUGUUGGUGGGGUAGUGGCUCACCAAGGCUUUGACGGGUAGCCGGCCUGAGAGGGUGACCGGCCACAUUGGGACGGAAAUACGGCCCAGACUCCUACGGGAGGCAACAGUGGGGAAUAUUGCACAAUGGGCGGAAGGCUGGUGCAGCAACGCCGCGUGGGGGAUGACGGCCUUCGGGUUGUAAACCGCUUUCGCCUGUGACGAGACGUGAGUGACGGUAAUGGGUAAAGAAGCACCGGCUAACUACGUG